GUUCCAUUGCUCACUUGGGCAGAACAUACACUAAAAUUGGAAUGAUACAGAGAAGAUUAGCAUGGACCAUAAGCAGGGAUGACAUGCAAAUUCUUCAAGGAGAACGAAGUCGGG
ensembl:snRNA U6 U6 spliceosomal RNA